ensembl:snRNA U12 U12 minor spliceosomal RNA
AUGCCUUAAACUUAUGAGUAAGGAAAAUAAUGAUUCGGGGUGAUGCCCAAAUCCUAA